GCCUCUGAGGAUGAUUCAAAUAAAACUUUCGUUCUUCCGAGGAUAACAUCCAUGCGGAAACAAUUAUUGGAGACCUGAACUGAAGAGGC